rnacentral:lncRNA from 1 species
AUUUCUAUAUAUUAGCUGAAAAAAAGCAUGAAGAACUGCAGGCAUGGGGAGGUUUAGGAUUGUGGAUUUUUAAAAAUACAGGCCCAGGGAAAGCUCCAUGAAGACUGGAGACUGAGAGGUGGAUUGAAGACUAUGCAACAAUUCAUUCUUAUGAGCCACUCCACAUCCAGGAGAGGCAGAGUCUGCUAUAGAAGUCAUUUGUUGAAUUGUAUCACUCAGGAAAAACAUUUAUUCAUCCAGUCAUUCACAGGGGUUAACAAUUGUUAUAUUUUGAGUGUGUGUUUAGUAACUAGAGGUCACCAGGGCAAAACAUUAGCUGUCCAUCUUCUUUGUUGUGAACUUGGAAGCCAAGGUAAAGGAGAAAGAUCUUUAUCUUGGUGAUGGUGAGACCUUGGUUCAGGUCCCCAUUUGCUCCUUCAAAAGCUGUGUGACCUUGGGGAAGACGCUGUAUCUAUCUAAGCUUGACAGACACUAUGUUGGGUUCAUAGCUUGGUGAGGGUGGUAGCCACUGAAAUGACUAAAAACAAGCAGCUAGCACAAAAAUCUCCUCCCUGAAUGCCAGAGCCUCAAGGUCUGCAGUCCAAUGGUCUCAUCACAGGGGUUACCAGCCCCUCUACAGAUAAGAAAUUGGAGGCUCAGAGAGGUAAGGAGACUUCCCCGAGUCCCCACACUCAGUGAAUGGGAGAGCUGCCAUGGAUCUGAGGCCAGCCUGAUUCCAAAGUCCAUGUCCCUCCUGACCAGCACCUCUGCCAGGCGUGUUCCCCACGUGUUGAGUUGAAGAUAUCAGGCUGGGCAGGGUCAAGAAAACAUAUGGACACCUGGAAGCGCUCAUUUUCUGGAGUCCCUGGUGGGGGAAGGAUGUCAUUUUGGGGGUGCUAAGGAAGAUGUUCCAGGAAAGUCAGUGUGGUGUGGUGAGGGACGGUAUCUACACUUACAGGGCCUACUGCCAGGAGGAACCUGUGAAUCUGGUGUUUCUGCUCUUCUAUUUGCUUGAUAACUUGGUUUCUGGUCCCUCCAAGAAUCAUGCAGAGAUAAGAAAAGGAGGUAAGGAGAAAGGAAAUGUUCCUAACUGGUUGGCACUUUCAAAGGCUAGCUUUGCCCUCUCUGAGUGUGACAGAGGUUUUAAGUUGGCAGUUUCCCUCCUGGGAACUCUGCAGAUUUUCUGGAGACAGUCCUGUUUUGAUUCUAAGUUCCUUAACCUAGAUAGACUUUUCAUUUGGGUAGUGGUUCCCCACCUUCCUAUUGGCCUCUCCCUUCAGGUCCUUCCACCAACACAGGAUCCCUUUCACCAUGAACCGACAUUCUUACUUGCUUUUCCAAACGUGACAUGCCCUCCUCUGUUCUCUGCUUUACUGACCUGACCUGCCACUGAAGAUCAUGUCCC